CCUACGGGGGGCAGCAGUGGGGAAUAUUGCGCAAUGGGCGAAAGCCUGACGCAGCGACGCCGCGUGAGAGAUGAAGGUCUUCGGAUCGUAAACCCCUGUCAGCAGGGAAGAACGGUCACUGUGCUAAUCAGCAGUGAAUUGACGGUACCUGCAAAGGAAGCACCGGCUAACUCCGUGCCAGCAGCCUCGGUAAUACGGAGGGAGCGAGCGUUAAUCGGAAUUACUGGGCGUAAAGCGCUCGUAGGCGGUAUGUCAAGUCAAGGGGUAAAUCCCCGCGCUCAACGUGGGAACUGCCUUUGAAACUGGCAAACUUGAGUGUGUGAGAGGUAAGUGGAAUUCCAGGUGUAGGAGUGAAAUCCGUAGAUAUCUGGCGGAACCUCAGUGGCGAAGGCGACUAUCUGGCACAUAACUGACGCUGAGGAGCGAAAGCGUGGGUAGCAAACAGGAUUAGAUACCCCAGUAGUC
rnacentral:rRNA from 1 species